GAUGAACGCUGACAGAAUGCUUAACACAUGCCAGUCAACUUGAAUUUGGGUUUUUAACUUAGGUUUGGGUGGCGGACGGGUGAGUAACGCGUAAAGAACUUGCCCCACAGCUAGGGACAACAUUUGGAAACGAAUGCUAAUACCUAAUAUUAUGAUAAUAGGGCAUCCUAUAAUUAUGAAAGCUAUAAGCGCUGUGAGAGAGCUUUGCGUCCCAUUAGCUAGUUGGAGAGGUAACGGCUCACCAAGGCGAUGAUGGGUAGCCGGCCUGAGAGGGUGAUCGGCCACAAGGGGACUGAGACACGGCCCUUACUCCUACGGGAGGCAGCAGUGGGGAAUAUUGGACAAUGGACCGAGAGUCUGAUCCAGCAAUUCUGUGUGCACGAUGAAGUUUUUCGGAAUGUAAAGUGCUUUCAGUUGGGAAGAAACAAAUGACGGUACCAACAGAAGAAGUGACGGCUAAAUACGG
rnacentral:rRNA from 1 species